rnacentral:rRNA from 1 species
CCGGCCGACCGGGUACGGAGUAACGUAACGUACUAGUCGUAACACACCGUGCCCGUGGCAGGGGGAUAAGCGGGGGAAACCCCGUCUAAUACCGCGUAACGCGGCCUAGGGACAUCCCAAGGCCGCCAAAGGGAGCAAUCCCGGCCACGGAUGGGCAUGCGGCGCAUUAGCUAGUCGGCGGGGUAACGGCCCACCGAGGCGACGAUGCGUAGGGGUUCUGAGAGGAAGGCCCCCCACACUGGUACUGAGACACGGACCAGACUCCUACGGAAGGCAGCAG